GACCCAGUGGUGCAAUGCUUAGCACACCUGCAUAAUCUGAGUCGCUCUAGAAGUUUCUGUAGGUGAUCCCUGUUCGAGUCGGGGCUGGAUCU